CCUACGGGAGGCAGCAGUGAGGAAUAUUGGUCAAUGGACGAGAGUCUGAACCAGCCAAGUAGCGUGAAGGAUGACUGCCCUAUGGGUUGUAAACUUCUUUUAUAUGGGAAUAAAACAGGGUAUGCAUACCCUCUUGUAUGUACCAUAUGAAUAAGGAUCGGCUAACUCCGUGCCAGCAGCCGCGGUAAUACGGGGGAUGCAAGCGUUAUCCGGAUUUAUUGGGUUUAAAGGGUGCGUAGGCUGUGAGGUAAGUCAGCGGUGAAAUGCCCCCGCUCAACGGGGUGAAGUGCCAUUGAUACUGCCUUGCUGGAAUGCGGAUGCCGUGGGAGGAAUGUGUGGUGUAGCGGUGAAAUGCAUAGAUAUCACACAGAACACCGAUUGCGAAGGCAUCUCACGAAUCCGCGAUUGACGCUGAUGCACGAAAGCGUGGGUAUCAAACAGGAUUAGAUACCCGUGUAGUC
rnacentral:rRNA from 1 species